GUCAUGUAUGAAUAGCCAGCCACAUCUAG
rnacentral:piRNA from 1 species